rnacentral:rRNA from 1 species
UGGGGAAUUUUGGACAAUGGGCGAAAGCCUGAUCCAGCAAUGCCGCGUGUGUGAAGAAGGCCUUCGGGUUGUAAAGCACUUUUGUCCGGAAAGAAAUCCUUGGCUCUAAUACAGUCGGGGGAUGACGGUACCGGAAGAAUAAGCACCGGCUAACUACGUGCCAGCAGCCGCGGUAAUACGUAGGGUGCAAGCGUUAAUCGGAAUUACUGGGCGUAAAGCGUGCGCGAGGCUGGUUUGCUAAGACCGAUGUGAAAUCCCCGGGCUCAACCUGGGAACUGCAUUGGUGACUGGCAGGCUAGAGUAUGGCAGAGGGGGGUAGAAUUCCACGUGUAGCAGUGAAAUGCGUAGAGAUGUGGAGGAAUACCGAUGGCGAAGGCAGCCCCCUGGGGCCAAUACUGACGCUCAUGCACGAAAGCGUGGGGAGCAAACAGGAUUAGAUACCCUGGUAGUCCACGCCCUAAAACGAUGUCAACUAGUUGUUGGGGAUUCAUUUCCUUAGUAACGUAGCUAACGCGUGAAGUUGACCGCCUGGGGAGUACGGUCGCAAGAUUAAAAACUCAAAUGAAUUGACGGGGUCAUAGCUGUUUCCU